UACGUAGGGCGCAAGCGUUAUCCGGAAUUAUUGGGCGUAAAGAGCUCGUAGGCGGUUUGUCGCGUCUGCCGUGAAAGUCCGGGGCUCAACUCCGGAUCUGCGGUGGGUACGGGCAGACUAGAGUGAUGUAGGGGAGACUGGAAUUCCUGGUGUAGCGGUGGAAAUGCGCAGAUAUCAGGAGGAACACCGAUGGCGAAGGCAGGUUCUC
rnacentral:rRNA from 1 species